rnacentral:rRNA from 1 species
UACAGAGGGUGCGAGCGUUGUCCGGAAUCACUGGGCGUAAAGCGUGUGUAGGCGGUCUCUUAAGUCGGAUGUGAAAGCCCCGGGCUCAACCCGGGAAGUGCACUCGAAACUGGGAGGCUAGAGUACUGGAGAGGUUGGUGGAAUUCUCGGUGUAGAGGUGAAAUUCGUAGAUAUCGAGAGGAACACCGGUGGCGAAGGCGGCCAACUGGACAGAUACUGACGCUGAGACACGAAAGCGUGGGGAGCAAACAGG